rnacentral:lncRNA from 1 species
ACUUGAGGGUUAGGUUGUAGUUGAGCUAGUAGCUUACUCUUCUCUUGAGCACUUAAAGCAGUGGUCAGCGUUGUCAGUUGAUUUCUUAUUUCAUCAUUGAUUUUAGCUUGACCUUGCAUGAAAGAUUGCAAAGUUUCUUCGAGACUGGGUUUUUGAGGGGGUGUGGGUGCAUAAUGAGGUUGCGGAGGUGGAGGAGUUGGGUUAUAUACUUGUUGAGGUUGGUCAUUCCUCCACCUGAAAUUUG